CAGGAUGGACCCGCGUCUGAUUAGCUAGUUGGUAAGGUAACGGCUUACCAAGGCGACGAUCAGUAGCCGACCUGAGAGGGUGAUCGGCCACAUUGGAACUGAGACACGGUCCAAACUCCUACGGGAGGCAGCAGUGGGGAAUAUUGCACAAUGGGCGAAAGCCUGAUGCAGCAACGCCGCGUGAGUGAUGAAGGCCUUCGGGUCGUAAAACUCUGUCCUCAAGGAAGAUAAUGACGGUACUUGAGGAGGAAGCCCCGGCUAACUACGUGCCAGCAGCCGCGGUAAUACGUAGGGGGCUAGCGUUAUCCGGAUUUACUGGGCGUAAAGGGUGCGUAGGCGGUCUUUCAAGUCAGGAGUGAAAGGCUACGGCUCAACCGUAGUAAGCUCUUGAAACUGGGAGACUUGAGUGCAGGAGAGGAGAGUGGAAUUCCUAGUGUAGCGGUGAAAUGCGUAGAUAUUAGGAGGAACACCAGUUGCGAAGGCGGCUCUCUGGACUGUAACUGACGCUGAGGCACGAAAGCGUGGGGAGCAAACAGGAUUAGAUACCCUGGUAGUCCACGCUGUAAACGAUGAGUACUAGGUGUCGGGGGUUACCCCCUUCGGUGCCGCAGCUAACGCAUUAAGUACUCCGCC
rnacentral:rRNA from 1 species